rnacentral:rRNA from 1 species
UUAGAGUUUGGAUCCUGGCUCAGGACGAACGCUGGCGGCGUGCUUAACACAUGCAAGUCGAACGAUGAUGCCCAGCUUGCUGGGCGGAUUAGUGGCGAACGGGUGAGUAAUACGUGAGUAACCUGCCCCUGACUCUGGGAUAAGCCUGGGAAACCGGGUCUAAUACUGGAUACGACUCCUCACCGCAUGGUGGGGGGUGGAAAGGGUUUAGUGGUUUUGGAUGGGCUCACGGCCUAUCAGCUUGUUGGUGGGGUAAUGGCUCACCAAGGCGACGACGGGUAGCCGGCCUGAGAGGGUGACCGGCCACACUGGGACUGAGACACGGCCCAGACUCCUACGGGAGGCAGCAGUGGGGAAUAUUGCACAAUGGGCGAAAGCCUGAUGCAGCGACGCCGCGUGAGGGAUGACGGCCUUCGGGUUGUAAACCUCUUUCAGUAGGGAAGAAGCGUAAUAGUGACGGUACCUGCAGAAGAAGCACCGGCUACCUGCGCAGCGACCGGC